ACCUGGCAUACAAUGUAGAUAUCUGUGUUUCUUGGGCAACAGCUACAUUGUCUGCUGGGUUUC
rnacentral:pre_miRNA from 1 species